UACGUAGGGGGCAAGCGUUGUCCGGAUUUAUUGGGCGUAAAGAGCGUGUAGGCGGCCAUGUAGGUCCGGUGUGAAAACUCGAGGCUUAACCUCGAGAUGUCAUCGGAAACCAUUUGGCUAGAGUCCGGAAGAGGAGAGUGGAAUUCCUGGUGUAGCGGUGAAAUGCGCAGAUAUCAGGAAGAACACCAAUGGCGAAGGCGGAUCUCUGGGCCUUACCUGACGCUGAGGCGCGAAAGCUAGGGGAGCGAACAGG
rnacentral:rRNA from 1 species